AGCCAAAGCAGUGCCAAAGAUACACCCAGUCACAUUAGAGCCAGGAAGAGUUGGAGAAAGUGUUGCUUUGAAUUGCUCUGUGUCGUAUGAUAAUGACAAUUUUCGAGCUGAAUACUAUCUUAUUUUGUCCUGGAUAAAAAAUGGAAAUGUGCUUGCAACGAAAAACGUAAACUAUAUGGUAGGGAGUCAUACUGAAGAAAUUAUUCACUCAGUUGUUGUCAACAGUUCUAGAGAUGGGGGAAAUUAUGUUUGUCACUGGACCUUGAUGGAUAAAUACA